CUGCACGAUCUCUCCCGGGCUUCUCUGAACUAAUUUCAAUUGAAGAUGUAAGCCCCAAAGAUUGUGCUAGAUCGAUUGCCGUCAAGUGUUGCAGUUUAGCUCAAAUCUUUAUGGCUAAUUUUGUGUCAAAUCGACUGCUACAUUG